AUGACUGGCCUGGAGUAGCCAAUAAAAUGGGACAGGAGCAUUGCUGUGUGACUUCUGAGGCUGGCGUGCAAGUUUCUGCCUUUGUCCCUCGAAAGGCUAGUUCUGGGGAAAGCCAGGCCCUGGGCAAGACGUCUGAACAUUCUGGGCCGGCCCUGCUGGGAGGAAGCCCAUGCCAGCAUGUAGAGAAGCCACAGGGAAAGAUCCAGGCAGGUGUUCCAGCCAUCCAUCCAAGCUGGGCCCCGGACAAGAGUGGAAAAGCCACAUGGGACUCCAUGCCAGUCAAGCUUUCAGAUGAAUUCCAGCUCCAGUCACCAUCUGGCAGCACAGGAGAGACCCUGAGGGAACUGCCCAGCUGGACUCAGCCAAGCCACAGAGCUGUGUGUCACAACAACAUGGCAUUGCCUUAAACCACUAAGUUCCCAGCAAGAGAGAGAAGGACCUGUGCUCCGCUCAUAUUUCAGAUCCAAGGUUUGAAACAUUACCUUGGAUUCCAAAGAAUGUCCAUCAGAAUGAAGCAGGGGGCAGAGGCGGGAGGUGGUGUCAUGUCAUGAAGGAAGGCGGGUGCAGGGGACAAGUGCCACGUGGACCACCACCGCUACCCGAGCGACCAGACAACUCACCUGUGGCCACAGCUCUCCUGGACUCUCGAAUCGGCCCCACUGCCAACCAGCUGUUCAGGCAGAAACUUAGGAGCAGCGGGUCCUGGGAGUGGGAGCCCCAGCCCCGCUCGGCCAUCCAGCCUCUGCGCACCCCGCCGACUGCACCAGCCCGCGGUCGGCACUCAGUAAGCACCACCAGCUGACCGGUGGAUCCUUCCAGCACAGCGGCAUUUCGGCUCUCUCUAGAAGAGUGACUUAAAUAGGAAUAUAUUGAGACUUUUGGAAUGUCCCUCCCUCUGAUUCCCUUGGCAGAGACCUUUAACCCAUCUCGCCCCACACAUGUUGACAACAGUAUCCAGUUCAAGAUCGUAUGGCGGGAGGCUCACCUGAAAUUUACCUGAGUAGAUGGGAUCUCUUUUUCUAUUUUCUAAAGACCCUGAGCCUUUAGCCCUGUCCAUUCAGCAGACAGACACCUGCUGAGUUGCUGCACUUUGUCCACGAUCCCACGCGAGGUGCGCGCGGACAGCAGGGCUCUCGGACAGCUGAGUGGUGAGGAGACAGGCAUGGGGACAGAGCAGCCUCCAGCCUGCGGACAGCUCAGAAACGCUCCCGGAAGUGGCACUCAAGUACCAAGGGCACCCGGGCAUCUCGGGAAGGAGGCUCGCGCAUGGACCACGCGGGAGACGUGAAACCGCUCAGGCCGUAUGUCCACGGGCCUGGAAACUGACCAUCACGCACGUGGGGAACCGUAGCCUGGGUUCUAAGGCAGGUGCCCCGCAAACCUCCACCACGUGAGCUCUGCGUCUGAGCCCAGGUGGGCCGGCCUGAAGCCCUCAGUGUCCUGACCGUGUUUCCUGUCGAUAGGAGUGGCUAGAAUCCGUCGCAUGCACUGUUUCUGCAGUUGAGGAAACAGGCCUUGGUGGCUUUCACAGACAUUUAAGCAGAAAUUCAGACGUGAAAUGGCUUUGCGACUACAGGGCUGGAAAAGAGGGGGAAUGACGUCUGUCUCCAGGGGGAGCGCUUCCUUGACCCCGACAGACUGGGUGUUCUGCAAGGUCACAGAAUGUCUCUCUCUUUGUCCUGGAUGCCAAGAACUUGGGAUGGAUGUGAUGUGGAAGCGCAGGUCCUCUUGUCACCUUUAUGUUCAAUGUGUCACCCACCUGCUCUCUUCUCUGUCCCCUUGGAAGUCUGUUUCUACCUGAACCUUGUUAAACUGACUGAGUCACUCCUCUUGUUUGGUUGUUGGCUGGGUGGUGACUUGCCACUUGUGUGUAUGUGUGUGUGUGAGUGUGUUGUGUGUAUGUGUGUGAGUGUGUUGUGUGUAUGUGUGUAUGAGUGUGCUUGUGUGUAUGUUGUAUGUGUGUUGUGCGUGAGUGUUGUGUGUGUUGUGUGUAUGUGUGCAUUGUGUGUAUGUGUGUAUGAGUGUGUGUUGUGUGUGUUGUGUAUGAGUGUUUUGUGUGUGUUGUGUAUGUGUGUGUUGUGUGUGUUGUGUAUGUGUGUGUUGUGUGUGAGUGUUGUGUGUGUCUGUUGUGUGUAUGUGUGUUGUGUGUGUGUGUGUUGUGUGUAUGUGUGUGUGUGUUGUGUGUGUGAGUGUGUUGUGUGUAUUAGUGUGUUGUGUGUAUGUGUCUCUGUGAGUGUGUUGUGUGUUGUGUGUAUGUGUGUGUGAGUGUGUUGUGUGUAUGUGUGUGUGUGUUGUGUGUAUGUGUGUGUGUGAGUGUGUUGUGUGUGUGAGUGUGUUGUGUGUCUGUGUGUGUGUGAGUGUGUUGUGUGUAUGUGUGUCUGAGUGUGUUGUGUGUAUGUGUGUGUGUGAGUGUGGUGUGUGUGUGUGUGUGAGUGAGUGUUUGGGGGUAGGUCACCUCAGACGCUUUUGCAGAGGGAGUGAUGUAAUAAAGCGUAAAGGUUUAAAGCUGAUCUCCUUUCACCGGGAUAUGUUUAACAAGGCAGAGGGAGGAAUAAAUCCACUGUCCUGAUGGUGGCAGUGACUGGGGCUCCUUCGCGCACUGGGAGUCCGUCUUUCCUGACUCCAGAUGCCCGUGACUUCCGGGGGGAGGCGGGGGUCUUCUGCACCCACUGAAGGGAAGAGAAGCCAGUCAGUGAGCAAACAAAUUCUUUGCUGAAGAAAUCCUGAACAGGGGGCUAGAGCUCCCACCUACUCUGAAAACAAUUUCGGUCACCCUAAAGAGGGAACAAAAUAGGACAGGAGAAAUUAGUAAAUGCUUAACUGGUAAAAUGGGCAAACACUUCUGGGCAUAGUUGGAAAUUCACAAGGAUUAUUCUUUCUCUUUGGCAGAUGCCAGUCAGUGCUGUCUGCCCAGCAUCCCUGCUCCCUGCCUCCUCUGGUAGAAAUGAGUUGUACAGUUCCAUCCUCUUGGCCACAGGCAUGGGAGUGAGGUUGAGAGCCUGCACAGACCGUCCAGAUCCUUCCUUGGCAUCUGCGACCUGGACACUUGGAGAGAGCAGCUGUGUCAUCUCUAAGGCCCCGCUCUGGGACGGUAAGCCCACAGCUGCUGACUAGGGCGUUUCUCACUGCUGAAAGGGAGCUCGUCCGCAGGCCAAGAAAAAGAGAGAAGCUUAGCAAUUAUUUCCUGAGUUUCUGUCGCCUGCAGCUGAAAGAACCCUGACUAGCAUGGUCUGAUUUUACAAGGUGAGGCGAGAAGCCCUGACAGGCAAAGUAACUUCCCACAGUCACAGAGAGGAGACCCCGGGCCCCCCUAGAGCUGACCCCAGGGAAAUGAGUGACCGAAACCUCUCAUGCGUCCCCUCCCAGCCCUCCAUCUCUUCUCCUGCCCAGUCUUCCUCCAGAGUCGCAGUGACAGAAAAGACUACAUCGCUCCUGGAAACCUCCUAGAAAUUCCCCAAACUGAGAAGCCAGCAUCCUCGGAGCCCUGCUUCUGGUUGUACAUAUUAACACACUUCUCGUCCUUUAAUAAAGGACUUCAGUGGUGAGAUCCUGCAUUUAUUCAAACAGUGCUUUGUACUUGCCUGGGCCCCUCUCUUGCUGAAACCUCCCCGAUGGCUUUGCAAAAAUCGCAGCCGACUCCAGUCAGUCCCCUCACGAGGAAAGUGACAAUGGGGUGACCUUUCCCCAGGUCCUCUUAGCUGGACGGAGACGAGGCGUCUUGGUUCACACCGCUCUGGGGGAGCCUCGGACUCAACCCCUGGAUUACGCAUCAGUUAACCCCUGUGACGUGGAGUCGGUCACUCCCUGCCCCAAACCUCUGUUUUCUUCUCUCUUAAAAUGGAGAGGACAGUUGUGGGUGUUUCAGGACACAACUGUGAGGAGUCUGUGAAAUCGAGUAUUCUCAGCACCUCACACAGGUCUCGGUGCAUCGCAGGUCCUCGUUGAUGUUAAUUGCCUCCUCCUUCCGGUCCCGGCUGAUUAGGAAAAGACUGUUUCGCACGAUGCAGGAUCCUACCUGCUUCCCGAGUAAGCUACACAGGAUGAUCAUGCCCUCGCAUACAUAAAUAUACAUGAGACGGAGGGUGCAGCAUUAUUAGCAUAAUGAAUAUUCUAAUUAUGGCGCGAACAUUAAAGCUGGCACCAAACAUUAAUCCCCGGGGAAUGCCAAUUGCCAAGGAUGUCAUUACCAACCUGUGACCAAGUGUACUGAGAGGACCGAACUUGUGAAAUCAAGGAGCCAUCACACUUUUCAAAACACAGGAGGAGAUCAGUUACAACAGCGCACUAACACACACACACACACACACACACACACAUCACAGAGUCCCUUUCCUAUGAGCCACUGUGCCAUCAGUGCUCUUCUCUUACAAUGUUACUGCAGGGACAGGUGAGGUGAGGGCCGUGAAUUUAACCAGCACCGCCGAUGGAGGCUUUACGCGGACCAGAUGCUGGCUGGGACAUUUCCCCACAUCACCUGUGGCUUGUUUCUCGAACAGCUGGACGAGGUUCUCUUCGUAGCACAGUCCCGUUCUGUGCAUGGGACAAAGACAAGUGAAGUGACAAGAACUGUAACCGAAACAAGAGCUAACACUGCCGCUGGGUUUCGGGCGGCGCUUCUGGAACCGUCUGCGUGGGUCAUCACUUCCCUUCUGCCCUGUUGCCCACAAAGGCACUGACACUCAGCGAGUCAUACGGCGAACGAGCGGUGGAGCCAGGACCCACACCCGGGUCAUUGCUCCCAGACGGCAGGUGGAAAUGCCGACAAGCGCUUCCCACCUGCGCCGGCUCACACGGGUCCACGUCAGGAAGCUCUGAUCAAACCCGGCCCCGUCAGACCCCAGCCUAUACCUCGCACACGGUAUUUCCAGAGUUCAGGAGUUAAUUUGACAUAAUUUCUUAUGGUUCCCUUCAAGAGAAUAUAGGAAGAGCUGGCUGCAAAACUGAACCCGUGAGCACCGAUUUAAGGAUUUCUGCUAAGCCAGAGCGCAGUCUUCUCUGGGGCAUAAGAGGUCUGUCCCCAGCACAACUGGCAUUCAGAUUUUGGUCAGUAACUCAGAUGGAUGUAAAGGCGGUCACGGAUUAUGUUUAAGGAAGACACAAAGAUGGACCGGAGAAUGUGCAACAGAUCGGGAAGUCAGUCUGCAGGGAAGCUGGCUUUGACGUUGACUCCACCCCUGCCAGGUGACAGGUGACCUGCCUCCAGCUCCAGGACAGAGCACGUGGUCCAGGCUUAGACACAGCACCUUGCUUGGUACAGAGACAGACAGAGAGGAUUGAAAUUAAGCCUGGAUGUUUGCUGGAGCCUUCUGGAAAGAGGGCCCGACCUUAAGCCAGACCCAUGUGGAUGUAAGUGCAGAGAUAUGUGGUGAUGGCCUGAAGCAAAACUCAGACAAAACCGGAGACACAUGCAGAGCUGAGGCCUCAGGUCACCUCACCAGCCUGGAGGUGACCCGAACUCCCAGGUCAUUUCCGUUAAGCCCUUCCCCCAUCCUCUCACGCCUGCUUUGAGGAGGCGUUCUGUCCUAGCCCUGGAAGAAUCCUGACUAACAGAUCACCCCCGAGGCUCCGGUCACCGUCACCGUCCCCGCCUCCACAGAUCCUCUCGCCCCUGGGAAGGGCGGCGAGCACCCAGCAGCCUCACUUCUGCGGGGUAGAAGAUGUGCUACUUCGCAUUUGUCUCUGAUGCCUUCUUGGCUGCAUCCAGGGCACCUGGGUCAGACAAGUGUCUCAUUCUACCUUCUCCUGGGAUUCCCGCAGCCUGACUCGGUGAGGGUAAUAAACGCUCAAUAAAUAGGACUUUCCGGGUGCUUACAGCCUAGCAUAACUUUAGAUGCUCUGCCUUCUUUUUCAAUAGAAUCUUUUCCCCAAAACAACUCCUGUUCAUUCCCCGGCCUUGGAAAGGCAGCAUUCCUCAAAGUAGCCCUAAUCAUUCUCUUGAGCACUUACUACGUGCUGGGCAUCGGUGCCGUGUACAGGCGAGGUGACACAGGAUCGGUGUGACAAGGAGCCCACCUAGUUGAGGGGAACAGGUUACAGACACACACCCCGUGGAGUGAGAAAGGUCAGGGCAGAGGACCCGGGUGCUGCAGGGCCCCAAGGAGGAAGCACCAGCUCCACCAUUUUGAACCAUCUCACCUCUCGGCCCCCUGUGCUGUGCUGGAGGGUAAAGACGUGUGAACAGACAGUGAAAUCCAAGGACCGUUUUAUCAGAGAACAAAUACUGAAAUCCAUCAGUCAUGGCCUCCAAGGAAACACUGAGACGUGAAGUAAAUCUAAAGAUACAAGAAAAAGUACACACUCCUAUUGCACCAUAAAUAAAUAGGUUUGACAAACGUUCCCAGAGUUGGCAGCUUGUUACCAGAGGCCACGAACUUGUGGCUCCACACAUUUUCUUAUUCUUUUUCUUUAUUGAAGUGUGGCCGGUUUACAAUGCUGUGUCAGUCUCUGGUGUACUGCAUCAUGUCUCAGUCACACAGAUGCAUGCAUACGUUCGUUUUCAUAUUUUUUUCAUUGUAGGUUACUGCAAGGUAGUGAAUAGAGCUCUGCAGUAGAAACCUGUUGUUUAUCAAUCUUCUAGACGGUAGUUAGUAUCUGCAAAUCUCAAACUCCCGAUUUAUGCCUUCCCACCCCCUACCCCCA